CAGUAGCCGCGGGAAUACGUAGGGUGCGAGCGUUAAUCGGAAUUACUGGGCGUAAAGCGUGCGCAGGCGGUUCGUUAAGACAGAUGUGAAAUCCCCGGGCUUAACCUGGGAACUGCAUUUGUGACUGGCGAGCUAGAGUAUGACAGAGGGGGGUAGAAUUCCACGUGUAGCAGUGAAAUGCGUAGAGAUGUGGAGGAAUACCGAUGGCGAAGGCAGCCCCCUGGGCCAAUACUGACGCUCAUGCACGAAAGCGUGGGGAGCAAACAGGAUUAGAUACCCCAGUAGUCCCUGUCUCUUAUAC
rnacentral:rRNA from 1 species